rnacentral:tRNA from 1 species
UGGCACAAUUGGUAGAGCAUGGUGUUUGCAAUGCCAGGGUUGUGGGUUUGAUUCCCAC